rnacentral:rRNA from 1 species
CGCAUCUGUGCAUGCAGCAUAUCAAUAAGCGGAGGAAAAGAAACUAACAAGGAUUCCCCUAGUAACGGCGAGUGAAGCGGGAAGAGCUCAAAUUUGAAAUCUUAAAGGGUUUCCCUUUACGAAUUGUAGUUUAAAGAAGUGUUUUCUGUUGAGGUUUUGGUAAAAGUUCUUUGGAAUAGGACAUCAUAGAGGGUGAGAAUCCCGUAUUUGACCUUUACUUUCAACUUUGUGAUACACUUUCAAAGAGUCGGAUUGUUUGGGAAUGCAGUCCAAAAUGGGUGGUAAAUUUCAUCUAAAGCUAAAUAUUGGCGAGAGACCGAUAGCGAACAAGUACCGUGAGGGAAAGAUGAAAGAACUUUGAAAAGAGAGCUAAACAGUACGUGAAAUUGUCAAAAGGGAAGCGUUUGACACCAGUGUUGUUUUUCUGAAAAUCAAUUAAAGAACUGUUUAUGCUAAGCUUGUUUAGACUUUAUCAGCUAACUGUUUAGUUUUGAGCUUUUCUUUAACUGCACUUUUCAGUUAACAAGUCAACAUCAAUUUCUUUUGCUGUAAAAAAGCUUGAGGAAGGUGGCUUGAGAUUCGUCUUAAGUGUUUAUAGCCUCUUGCCUAUGCAGUCGGAGAGAUUGAGGUCUGCAGCGUAGAUCCUUCGGGGCUAAAUGCAUUUGUGCUAAGUUAUAGCAUUUUAUAGACAACUUGUUGACUAUGAUUUGUCUUGUAGCUUACUCGCUUAUGUUAUUUUACCUACGCUUAGGAUGUUGAACGCGCACAGAGUCUC